rnacentral:lncRNA from 1 species
AAUCGUAGCUCGUGGCGCCAACGUCCGCUGACAGCAGCUACCGGUCAAAGUCAGAGACCCAGCCGAGACAAGCAGCAAUUGGCAGAGCAACAACAACAACAACACACAUUUCUUCAUAAACCCCAAGCGUCUUUCUCUUUCUCUCUAUAACCACACAUACACACUCUCUCUCUACAAUGAUUGAUUUCGAAAGAGAGUCAGAAUCAGAGGGAGAGAUUAGGGCUUCCAUUGAACCCGCUUCUCCAGCUCCGGCAGCAGCGGCUAUGCCGGCGAAGGAGGAGGCAACACCAGCGCCACCAGCGGCUCUCAAUUCGAAAUCGAGCAUGUAGAAAUAGAAGAAGAAGGCGACACCAGAGUUGAAAUUGAUAGAAUCUCAAUUUUCGAUUCCCACACUAAUUUAGGUUCUUAGUUUCAAUCAAUUUGAUCGUUUGACAUUACGAAAAAUCAAUCUAGUGCUUAGUUUUGUUUAUUCUCAAUAGAUUUAGUCAUUUAUUUUGACGACUAUUGGUCAGUUUAGUCUCACAUUGGUCGAGAAAUUAUUAGGUAGUCUUGGAAUACCACGUGUCCAGGGUCCCAGCCAAUUUCCAUGUGACAUGUAUUCGAGUUUUUCAAUUUACGACAAAGAAUUAAUUACACUAUAUUAUGUGUCAUGAAAAUAAAGACUUGCAACCAUGUUUGUCAAUGGAUAUAAGAUGUAGAAAAUGAAAUAUUUUUGCUAGGAACUAGCCCC